UACAGAGGUCCCGAGCGUUGUUCGGAUUCAUUGGGCGUAAAGGGUGCGUAGGUGGCGCCGUAAGUGGGGUGUGAAAUCCCGGGGCUUAACCCCGGGACUGCAUUCCAUACUGCGGUGCUUGAAGACUGGAGAGGAGACUGGAAUUUACGGUGUAGCAGUGAAAUGCGUAGAUAUCUGGAGGAACACCGGUGGCGAAGGCGGCGAUCCUGGACCGGUAUUGACGCUGAGGCGCGAAAGCCAGGGGAGCAAACGGG
rnacentral:rRNA from 1 species